GGUAGUAUGGCUGAGAUAGCGGUAGGCUGUAAACUUACAAACAGGAUAAUAUCCUUGCUGCCA
rnacentral:tRNA from 1 species